GAUAAGGAGCUUGCUCCUUUGACGUUAGCGGCGGACGGGUGAGUAACACGUGGAUAACCUACCUAUAAGACUGGGAUAACUUCGGGAAACCGGAGCUAAUACCGGAUAACAUAUUGAACCGCAUGGUUCAAUAGUGAAAGGCGGCUUUGCUGUCACUUAUAGAUGGAUCCGCGCCGUAUUAGCUAGUUGGUAAGGUAACGGCUUACCAAGGCAACGAUACGUAGCCGACCUGAGAGGGUGAUCGGCCACACUGGAACUGAGACACGGUCCAGACUCCUACGGGAGGCAGCAGUAGGGAAUCUUCCGCAAUGGGCGAAAGCCUGACGGAGCAACGCCGCGUGAGUGAUGAAGGUCUUCGGAUCGUAAAACUCUGUUAUCAGGGAAGAACAAAUGUGUAAGUAACUGUGCACAUCUUGACGGUACCUGAUCAGAAAGCCACGGCUAACUACGUGCCAGCAGCCGCGGUAAUACGUAGGUGGCAAGCGUUAUCCGGAAUUAUUGGGCGUAAAGCGCGCGUACGCGGUUUUUUAAGUCUGAUGUGAAAGCCCACGGCUCAACCGUGGAGGGUCAUUGGAAACUGGAACACUUGAGUGCAGAAGAGGAAAGUGGAAUUCCAUGUGUAGCGGUGAAAUGCGCAGAGAUAUGGAGAGAACACCAGUGGCGAACGCGACUUUCUGGUCUGUAACUGACGCUGAUGUGCGAAAGCGUGGGGAUCAAACAGGAUUAGAUACCCUGGUAGUCCACGCCGUAAACGAUGAGUGCUAAGUGUUAGGGGGUUUCCGCCCCCUUAGUGCUGCAGCUAACGCAUUAAGCACUCC
rnacentral:rRNA from 1 species